rnacentral:rRNA from 1 species
CAAAGGUUUGGUCCUAGCCUUAAGAUCACUUAUUACUUAACAUACACAUGCAAGUCUCCGCACCCCCGUGAAAACGCCCUUAAACUUCCCACGAAAUAAGGAGCCGGCAUCAGGCACAACUAUCUGCCCAAAACGCCUAGCUACGCCACCCCCGCACGGGAAUUCAGCAGUGAUUAAUAUUGAACAUAAGCGACAGCUUGAUUCAGCUAUAGUAAAGAGAGCCGGCCAAUCUGGUGCCAGCCGCCGCGGUUACACCACAUGGCGCAAAUUGAUCCCUAUCGGCGUAAAAGCGUGAUUUAAGUAACCGCACCCAUUAGGGUUAAACUUGGGCUAAGCUGUAAUACGCUUGCUGCGCAAGAAACCCAAAGGCGAAAGCUACUCUAAUUUUGUCCACUUGAACUCACGACAGCUGGGGCUCAAACUGGGAUUAGAUACCCCUUA